rnacentral:rRNA from 1 species
GACGAACGCUGGCGGCGUGCCUAAUACAUGCAAGUCGAGCGCAGGAAACUGACGGAACUCUUCGGAGGGAAGGCAGCGGAAUGAGCGGCGGACGGGUGAGUAACACGUAAGGAACCUGCCUCAAGGAUUGGGAUAACUCCGAGAAAUCGGAGCUAAUACCGGAUAGUUCAUCGGACCGCAUGGUCCGUUGAUGAAAGGCGCUUCGGCGUCACCUUGAGAUGGCCUUGCGGUGCAUUAGCUAGUUGGUGGGGUAACGGCCCACCAAGGCGACGAUGCAUAGCGGACCUGAGAGGGUGAUCGGCCACACUGGGACUGAGACACGGCCCAGACUCCUACGGGAGGCAGCAGUAGGGAAUCUUCCACAAUGGACGAAAGUCUGAUGGAGCAACGCCGCGUGAGUGAUGAAGGUUUUCGGAUCGUAAAACUCUGUUGUAAGGGAAGAACACGUACGAGAGGGAAUGCUCGUACCUUGACGGUACCUUACGAGAAAGCCACGGCUAACUACGUGCCAGCAGCCGCCGUAA